AACGAACGCUGGCGGCAGGCCUAACACAUGCAAGUCGAACGAUGUAGCAAUACAUAGUGGCGCACGGGUGAGUAACACGUGGGAACGUGCCUUUUGGUACGGAAUAGCUUCGGGAAACUGGAAUUAAUACCGUAUAAGCCCUGAGGGGGAAAGAUUUAUCGCCAAAAGAUCGGCCCGCGUCAGAUUAGCUAGUUGGUGGGGUAAUGGCCUACCAAGGCUCCGAUCUGUAGCUGUUCUGAGAGGAAGAUCAGCCACACUGGAACUGAGACACGGUCCA
rnacentral:rRNA from 1 species